rnacentral:rRNA from 1 species
UACGUAGGGCGCAAGCGUUAUCCGGAAUUAUUGGGCGUAAAGAGCUCGUAGGCGGUCUGUCACGUCGGCUGUGAAAUCCCGAGGCUCAACCUCGGGUCUGCAGUCGAUACGGGCAAACUAGAGUAUUGCAGGGGAGACUGGAAUUCCUGGUGUAGCGGUGAAAUGCGCAGAUAUCAGGAGGAACACCGAUGGCGAAGGCAGGUCUCUGGGCUGACACUGACGCUCAUGCACGAAAGCGUGGGGAGCAAACAGG